rnacentral:rRNA from 1 species
UACGUAGGGUGCGAGCGUUGUCCGGAAUUAUUGGGCGUAAAGAGCUCGUAGGCGGUGUGUCGCGUCGGCCGUGAAAACUCAGGGCUCAACCCUGAGCGUGCUUCCGAUACGGGCAGACUAGAGGUAUGCAGGGGAGAACGGAAUUCCUGGUGUAGCGGUGGAAUGCGCAGAUAUCAGGAGGAACACCGGUGGCGAAGGCGGCCUGCUGGGCAGUAGCUGACGCUGAUGCGCGACAGCGUGGGGAGCAAACAGG